GAGGCCUACGGGGGGCAGCAGUGGGGAAUAUUGCACAAUGGGGGAAACCCUGAUGCAGCGACGCCGCGUGAGUGAAGAAGUAUUUCGGUAUGUAAAGCUCUAUCAGCAGGGAAGAAAAAAGACGGUACCUGACUAAGAAGCCCCGGCUAACUACGUGCCAGCAGCCGCGGUAAUACGUAGGGGGCAAGCGUUAUCCGGAUUUACUGGGUGUAAAGGGAGCGCAGGCGGCCUGGCAAGCCUGAUGUGAAAUACCGGGGCCCAACCCCGGGGCUGCAUUGGGAACUGCCAGGCUGGAGUGCCGGAGG
rnacentral:rRNA from 1 species